UCUCCGGGCUUUGACCAUGUCUCCCGAACAAUUUCAGUACAUAUGGCGCAAGACGAUUCCAC
rnacentral:rRNA from 1 species